CCUACGGGAGGCAGCAGUGAGGAAUAUUGGUCAAUGGACGAGAGUCUGAACCAGCCAAGUAGCGUGAAGGAUGACUGCCCUAUGGGUUGUAAACUUCUUUUAUAAGGGAAUAAAACGAGGCACGUGUGCCUUUUUGCAUGUACUUUAUGAAUAAGGAUCGGCUAACUCCGUGCCAGCAGCCGCGGUAAUACGGAGGAUGCAAGCGUUAUCCGGAUUUACUGGGUGUAAAGGGAGCGUAGACGGUUACGCAAGUCUGGAGUGAAAGUUGGGGGCCCAACCCCCGGACUGCUUUGGAAACUGUAUAACUGGAGUGCAGGAGAGGUAAGUGGAAUGCGUGGUGUAGCGGUGAAAUGCGUAGAUAUUAGGAAGAACUCCAGUGGCGAAGGCAGCUUACUGGACUGUAACUGACGUUGAGGCUCGAAAGCGUGGGGAGCAAACAGGAUUAGAUACCCCUGUAGUC
rnacentral:rRNA from 1 species